rnacentral:rRNA from 1 species
UACUAGAGUAGCACUCGCAUAUCAAUAAGCGGAGGAAAAGAAACUAACAAGGAUUCCCCUAGUAACGGCGAGUGAAGCGGGAAGAGCUCAAAUUUGAAAUCUUAAAGGGUUUCUCCUUUACGAAUUGUAGUUUAAAGAAGUGUUUUCUGUUGAGGUUUUGGUAAAAGUUCUUUGGAAUAGGACAUCAUAGAGGGUGAGAAUCCCGUAUUUGACCUUUACUUUCAACUUUGUGAUACACUUUCAAAGAGUCGGAUUGUUUGGGAAUGCAGUCCAAAAUGGGUGGUAAAUUUCAUCUAAAGCUAAAUAUUGGCGAGAGACCGAUAGCGAACAAGUACCGUGAGGGAAAGAUGAAAAGAACUUUGAAAAGAGAGUUAAACAGUACGUGAAAUUGUCAAAAGGGAAGCGUUUGACACCAGUGUUGUUUUUCUGAAAAUCAAUUAAAGAACUGUUUAUGCUAAGCUGUUUAGACUUUAUCAGCUAACUGUUUAGUUUUGAGCUUUUCUUUAAUGCACUUUUCAGUUAACAAGUCAACAUCAAUUUCUUUUGCUGUAAAAAAGCUUGAGGAAGGUGGCUUGAGAUCCGUCUUAAGUGUUUAUAGCCUCUUGCCUAUGCAGUCGGAGAGAUUGAGGUCUGCAGCGUAGAUCCUUCGGGGCUAAAUGCAUUUGUGCUAAGUUAUAGCAUUUUAUAGACAACUUGUUGACUAUGAUUUGUCUUGUAGCUUACUCGCUUAUGUUAUUUUACCUACGCUUAGGAUGUUGAGCGCAUGUCUCUCUCU